GCCAUCGAGCCGUGGCCAGAGUCAGCCAGGGCAAGGUCGCGGUCAAACGGGGCCAUUCCAGGUGAUGUUGGGUCACGGGUGGUGUCAGAUGGGACAAGGUGAAGGUCAAUCUGGGGGGCAAAUCCAGGGGCCAUCGGUUCAAGGUUGGGGUAAUAAAGGGCAGGGUCAGCCGGGGGAAGGCGACGGAGUGGCAAUUCAAGGCCACAAUCAGCCAGGGCAGGGGCCAUCGACUCAAGGUUGGGGUAAUAAAGGGCAGGGUCAGCCGGGGGAAGGUGACGGAGUGGCAAUUCAAGGCCACAAUCAGCCAGGGCAGAGCCAAUAUCACGACGGGAAAAAAAAACCCCAAUUGGGCCGAGGUCAGACUCAGCCAAAACAGGGUCAGCGUCAACCCGAGCAGGGCCAGGGACUGUCAGGGCACGCCCAUGGUCUGCUGGGGCAAGGCCGAGGUCAACCUAAUCAGGGCCUGAGUCAGCCAAGGCAAUCUCACUGUCCACUGGGCCAAGUCCAGGAGCCAUUGGGUCACGCUUGGGGUCAACUUGGACAAGGUCAAGUGGGUCGUGGUGAAACUGGACAGGUUCAACAAGGUCAAGCACAGAGGAUGCUAUUGCAAGCUCAAGCAAACAUCACUGAGCAGCAUCAACCUCGGCAGAGCACGCCGCCGCCGCCGCUGCCGCCGGUGCCGCUUGAUUGGCAAGAG